CUCCUGUUCAUUUUACUCUUGAACCUAUUUCAUCGCAUUGACGAAUUCACGAGUUCACGAUGCAAAAUCUGUUUCAUCUUCCCUAGUCCGCAGAUUUCUUAUCGCGUGUUCUCCAUGGUUCAAUCUCUAAGGUUCUGGAUUUGGGUCUUCCUCUGUUCUGAGGAAUAUGAAGCUGCAUGUGGUAUCAGUUUCCCAUCCUAAUCUGAUUGAUGCAUUUUGCUAUGGCUGGUCGCUCACUCGCACGUCAUUCCAUUACUUCCAGAAAGAAAAUUCUAUGUUGCUGCUCUUGCUUAUCUUCUUGAUGUGCUGCUGCUGUUGUGAGGAGUUGUUGCGGGCUAUCGAUGUGUAAUAGCUGAGGAGCUGCAACGGGCUGUCGUUGUGUAGUUGUUGGGAGGAGCUGUUGUUGCAAGGAGCUGUUACGAGGAGCUGCUGCCUCUGUCUUUUCUUCCUGAUUGCAAAUUUACUAUGAAUGUAAUUUAAAUGUCAAUGAUACAAUUAAUAUUUUAGCAUUUCUCAUAAUAAAAUCCAUGUCCGCAAGUGAAACAGCCCAAACCAGCGUAAACAGUAUAAUAAUACUGUCUACAAAGCACAACGGAAGACUUAUAAAAGUUUGAGCUGAAUCCGACCUGUGGCUCGAUAGCAACAGCAAACCAAUAUCAAAGUAACUAAAAACUUUACAUAAUUUAAACUUAAAUAGUUAUAAACCAUUUAUAAUCCAAACUUAUAAUUACAAAACAUUUGGUACCUUAAUCUAAUUCUAUCAAUUUUACAACACAUGAUUCUUUAAAAUAUCAUUACAAAUUAACUUUUCAAAAAUAAUGUCCUCGUUACCGCAAUACAUAACAUAUAAGAGCAGUAAAAGUCCAUCCAUAUUAGAGUUAACUUGAAAGUGUAUCUAUCCUCCGUAAGGAAUAGGCCCUAUCAAAGAUUGUCAACAAUUGAAUUGUUGAGUAAUCCAACAAACUAUUACAUUUAUA